rnacentral:antisense_RNA from 1 species
CUUGAGCGAGCCGAGCCAGAGCGGACGCUCGGGCUCGCGGCUCUGGCCGUACGUGGCGAGCAGCGCCUGCGCCUC